CCCUUGAAAGACACUGUUUCGUUUGAGCAGUUCACAGGUAGCGCAACCUGUCUCGUAGUGUUCAUUUUCAAUGGCUAUUAAACGCUGUAAAUCAAAAUGACAUCGUGUACUAAUGGAUGUCUUCAAUCGAAGAAGGUUCAGAAAUGAUAUUUCCACAUGCUUAAAAUAGGUUGGGAAGUUACGGUCUUGGCGAACAGCAUUCUCACUUUCAGUGUGACAACUGUUGCGGCCAAAAUAAAAACAACAUAUUCAUCUGGUACCUUCUGUGGAGAGUUCUUGUAGGUUUACACAGAAUCAUCACACGAAGCUUUAUGUUGAUAAGACAUACAAAGUUUAAACCAGAUUGGCACUUUGGCAUCUGGAAGUCAAAGUGGAGAAACUUCACUGCAGAAAUGUUGUCUGAUGUCGCUGCGUCUGUGGGGUUAUCGUCAAGGAUGGGCCACAACAUACCCCAGCUUGUGGGGGACUCUUCAAAUCCUGUUGUUAUCUAAGACAGGAAAGAUUACCUUACAACAUUGUUUCACCACAUAAAGAAUGUCACCAAAUUUCAUUAAUUUCCAUGUGUCAGCGGAGCAUCCCGAUGUUGUGGAAUGCAGGAAAUUUCGUGACUCACCAGUAGUCAGAAUCACUCUCAGGAAGGUCUCGAAAGUGAAUGUUAAUGUGAGCUGUGACAACCUGCCAUAAGAAAUGUUUGUGAAAGGGCUUGAUCUGGACCAUCAGUGGUAUUUAUUUGAAAACAUUCGUGAAUUCUGUCGGAUAGAUGAACCAAAAACUUGACAUGUCCGAAACGCGCAACUGGUGAGCAACAAAAAACAGACUGUGCCCCCCAAAAAAGAAGAUGCAUUAAGAUGCGCAACUGAUCUUCUCUGAUGGUGCCACAACAAUUACAUACAUCAUGUAUCAGUGUUUAUUUUGGCCAAGGUAUUGGGUGAUAUAUUUUCCCACAAACAAUGCAAAAAGUCCUCUAUUCCUAGGAAAGCUAAAACAUGUAUACGAUUGCUAAAUGUGUCAGUUGAUACAGGUUUUGAAAUGUUCAAUGCAAACUUUUGUUGUUCUAAUUGCACAAGCUUGUUUUCAAGUUUUUUAUAUCUCAUAUUUACAAAACAAAAAUCAUUUUUUCCAUGUAGAUCUAACCAUGCAAUUGUUUUCACCUUAUGGACACAGACUGCCUAUCAGAAAAACUGGGAAAAAAUCAGUGUGA